GUCCACUUGGAGUUUGGAGGUCUGGCUCUCCUGUUGGUCACUGUCCAGGUGGCGACCUUGGAAUCAAUCCAGAAAGGCAACUUGGUCUCCCAGACUGCCCAGGAAGUCUUCCUUCAGGCCAGCCAGCUUUUCUAGAAGGUUCUCCAGGGAGUCAGUCCCAGGGCUCUGCCUCUGGAGUCUCUGCGCUUCCCUCACUUGCCUCUAGAUGGAAGAUUUCCUCACCUGGUGCCCAACAGGCUCCCCCUGCGGCCACAUCCAGCAAACCUGUGGAUGCUAGAAUUCUCAGAACCAAAUGCAGCCCUUAUCUUCUGCCGCAAAGCGUGACAGGCUUGUGUGUGGCUGUUAUCAAGCAUCAUUUGCUAUGUCCGUUUUUGGGGACAGAGAGGAGGACACAGGGUCCCUGCCUGAGUCUAGAGGAGGAGACAGGAAAUAGAUGUGACCAUGCAGGGUGGU
ensembl:lncRNA